GGAGGCCUAACAGGUUGCAGGGAAUGAGGCUGAUGAGGAAAAAUCUGACCAAAGAGCAAGAUACCCCCAGGUCCUUGGAGAAGAACUGAACAUGAGCACCAGACCCCAUUCGACAGUGUCAGUAUUUCACUGCACCUCGAUUUAUGCUUGACUCCACUGUUUAAUAACUACCUGUGGUUUUCUUUCCUUAGUGCCACCUUCUCUCCCACUUGCUGGAUUCAGUCACCUCCCCAACUGUGCCUUGUCUCCUUCCCUGCUAGUCAAUGAGCUCAGGCCUCCAUCCUUGAUGGCUUGGCUGUGAACAGUAGCCUCCUGUCUGAACUUUUGCCUUCAUCCAGUCAAAUGCACUCACACCACAGACAGGCUGAUCAUAUACAAUGUAGACUGGAUCCUGUCACUUCCUUACUUGAAACGUUUCAGUGACUUCUAUGAUUUUAAGAUAAACCCAAACUUGCUAAUAGGCUCACAGGGCCGACACCACCCACUCUAACCCCCAUGUGUCCCUUGGCCUGGGUGCAUGCCACCCACAAAUUUCACCCUCAGACUCAGAUGCUUCUGGGUUUCUGCCUCCUUCUUUGACCACACCUGUUUGCUCCCACACCAUUGCCCCAGACUCACUUUUCAGAGCCCAGAUUCCAAGUCACACCACCCUCUGAGGCCUUUUUUUUUGGAGUUGGGACAGACUUCAUGUGUCCAUGGGGCACCUGUUCCUCCUGUCCUGACAGUUACCUCACCACACUGAUUCUCUGUCCCCUUUAGGCUCUGAGCUCCAGGAGACGGUUGGCUGUGCCUACAGUCUUGUUUAUCGUGGUUGCUGGCACAGCAUCUGGUCCAGAACAGAUGCUCAAGUACUGGCUGAAUAAAUUUUCCUCUAUGAAUCAUUUUUAAUAUUUCUGCUCCUAUGUUCACAGGAGGCUUAUUUGCAAUAGCCCAAAGGUAGAGACCACUCAAGCAUUCACUGAUGAAUGAAUAUAUAAACAAUGUGGUCUACUCAUACAAUGGAAUAUUGCCUACCCUUGAAAGGGGAUGAAAUUCUGACACGUGCUACAACAUGGAUGAACCUUGAGGACAUCAUGUGAAGUGAAAUAAGCCAGACGCAAAAGAACAAAUAUUGUAUGAAUUAUCUCCUCCUCCUUUUCCUUCUCCUCCUCCUCCUUCUCCUUCUUCUUCUUUUCUGAGACAGAGUCUUGCUCUGUUGCCCAGGCUGGAGUGCACUGGCUUGAUCUCAGCUCACUGCAACCUCCGCCUUCCAGGUUCAAGCAAUUCUCCUGCCUCAUCCUCCCGAGUAGCUGGAAUUACAGGCAUGCACCACCAUGCCCAGCUAAAUUUUGUAUUUUUAGUAGAUGGGGUUUCACCAUGUCGGCGAGACUGGUCUCGAACUCCUGACCUCAGGGGAUCUGCCCGCCUCAGUUUCCCAAAGUGCUGGGAUUACAGGUAUGGGCCACCAUGCCUGGCUGAAUCCACUUCUAAGAGGUACCUAGAGUCAUCCAAUUCACAGGGAUAGAGAGUGGAACAAUGUUUGCCAGGGCCUGGGGAAGGAGGGAAUGGAGAGGGUUCGUGUUAAAUGGGAAAACGAGAAUGUUCUGUGGAUGGGUGGUGGUGACAGUCACCCAACAAUGUGAAUGUGCUUAAUGCCACUGAGUUGUGUGCCGAAAAUGGGUAAGAUGGUAAAUUUUGUGUGAUGUAUAUUUUACCACAAUAAAAAUAACUAUACUG
rnacentral:lncRNA from 1 species